rnacentral:lncRNA from 1 species
UUCCAGUACCUUCUAUUUGCUUCAAAGCGUAAUCUUUAUCAUCUUUCCCGUCCUUGCGCUUGGCUUUGUAGACGUGCCCGUAGGUGCCCCUGCCCACCUUGCAGCCCUCGUACUCGAACAGGUCCUCCACCCGCUCCCGCUCGCCGGUCAGCUUCACCUUGAAGUCAUAGUCCAUCUUCGCCGCUCCGCGACGCCUCACGGCAGCCGCGCACCCCGCCCCGCCGCUCCCCGGCAGCGGCAACAGCAGAAGGAGGAGGAGGAGGAGGAGGAGGGAAAAGAAGAGGAGGAGGAGGACGCCCCCGGGCCGCCCCGCGAAGCAUGCAGGGCCGGGCGGCGGCGGCGGAGCUCCUCGCUCCUUCCCUCCGCGCCCCGUCCCCGGCCGCUCCCCUCCCGCCCGCCGGCUCGCGGCACAACAGCCGGGCUGCGCGCGGAAUACGGCGGCCGCGCCUGG